rnacentral:piRNA from 1 species
UAAAAGAAGCUCAGACUUCAAGGUUGGUUG